AGCGGAUGACGGGAGCUUGCUCCUUGAUUCAGCGGCGGACGGGUGAGUAAUGCCUAGGAAUCUGCCUGGUAGUGGGGGACAACGUUUCGAAAGGAACGCUAAUACCGCAUACGUCCUACGGGAGAAAGCAGGGGACCUUCGGGCCUUGCGCUAUCAGAUGAGCCUAGGUCGGAUUAGCUAGUUGGUGGGGUAAUGGCUCACCAAGGCGACGAUCCGUAACUGGUCUGAGAGGAUGAUCAGUCACACUGGAACUGAGACACGGUCCAGACUCCUACGGGAGGCAGCAGUGGGGAAUAUUGGACAAUGGGCGAAAGCCUGAUCCAGCCAUGCCGCGUGUGUGAAGAAGGUCUUCGGAUUGUAAAGCACUUUAAGUUGGGAGGAAGGGCAGUAAGUUAAUACCUUGCUGUUUUGACGUUACCGACAGAAUAAGCACCGGCUAACUCUGUGCCAGCAGCCGCGGUAAUACAGAGGGUGCAAGCGUUAAUCGGAAUUACUGGGCGUAAAGCGCGCGUAGGUGGUUCGUUAAGUUGGAUGUGAAAGCCCCGGGCUCAACCUGGGAACUGCAUCCAAAACUGGCGAGCUAGAGUACGGUAGAGGGUGGUGGAAUUUCCUGUGUAGCGGUGAAAUGCGUAGAUAUAGGAAGGAACACCAGUGGCGAAGGCGACCACCUGGACUGAUACUGACACUGAGGUGCGAAAGCGUGGGGAGCAAACAGGAUUAGAUAUCCUGGUAGUCCACGCCGUACACGAUGUCAAC
rnacentral:rRNA from 1 species